rnacentral:rRNA from 1 species
GACGAACGCUGGCGGCAGGCCUAACACAUGCAAGUCGAGCGCGAAAGGGACUUCGGUCCCGAGUAAAGCGGCGCACGGGUGAGUAACACGUGAAUAAUCUGCCCUCAUGACCGGGAUAACAGACCGAAGGGACUGCUAAUACCGGAUAAGCUUCCGCGCCAAACGGGCGAGCGGAGAAAAGAGUGGGACCUUUCGGGGCCACUUGCUUGAGGAUGAGUUCGCGUCCCAUUAGAUAGUUGGUGAGGUAAUGGCUCACCAAGUCAACGAUGGGUAGCUGGUCUUAGAGGAUGAUCAGCCACACUGGAACUGAGACACGGUCCAGACUCCUACGGGAGGCAGCAGUGGGGAAUAUUGCGCAAUGGAGGAAACUCUGACGCAGCCAUGCCGCGUGAGUGAUGAAGGCCCUCGGGUCGUAAAGCUCUGUCUAAGGGGAAGAACGGUACAAGGUCCAAUAGGCCUUGUAAUUGACGGUACCCUUAAAGAAAACACCAGCUAACUCUGUGCCAG